AACGAACGCUGGCGGCAGGCUUAACACAUGCAAGUCGAACGCCCCGCAAGGGGAGCGGCAGACGGGUGAGUAACGCGUGGGAAUCUACCCAUCUCUACGGAAUAACGCAUGGAAACGUGUGCUAAUACCGUAUACGUCCUUCGGGAGAAAGAUUUAUCGGAGAUGGAUGAGCCCGCGUUGGAUUAGCUAGUUGGUGGGGUAAAGGCCUACCAAGGCGACGAUCCAUAGCUGGUCGGAGAGGAUGAACAGCCACACUGGGACUGAGACACGGCCCAGACUACUACGGGGGGCAGCAGUGGGGAAUAUUGGACAAUGGGCGCAAGCCUGAUCCAGCCAUGCAGCGUGAGUGAUGAAGGCCCUAGGGUUGUAAAGCUCUUUCACCGGUGAAGAUAAUGACGGUAACCGGAGAAGAAGCCCCGGCUAACUUCGUGCCAGCCGCCGCGGUAACAC
rnacentral:rRNA from 1 species